rnacentral:rRNA from 1 species
UACGUAGGUGGCAAGCGUUGUCCGGAAUUAUUGGGCGUAAAGCGCGCGCAGGCGGUCCUUUAAGUCUGAUGUGAAAGCCCACGGCUCAACCGUGGAGGGUCAUUGGAAACUGGGGGACUUGAGUGCAGGAGAGAAGAGUGGAAUUCCACGUGUAGCGGUGAAAUGCGUAGAGAUGUGGAGGAACACCAGUGGCGAAGGCGGUCUCCUGGGGCAUUCUUGACGCUGAGGCGCGAAAGCUGGGGGAGCAAACGGG